rnacentral:rRNA from 1 species
ACGCACGCUGGCGGCGUGCUUCACACAUGCAGGUCGAACGGAAAGGCCCCUUUGGGGGUACUCGAGUGGCGAACGGGUGAGUAACACGUGAGUAACCUGCCCUUGACUUCGGGAUAACUUCAGGAAACUGGGGCUAAUACCGGAUAGGAAUCCUUGCUGCAUGGUGGGGGUUGGAAAGCUUCGGCGGUUUUGGAUGGACUCGCGGCUUAUCAGCUUGUUGGUGGGGUAGUGGCUUACCAAGGCUUUGACGGGUAGCCGGCCUGAGAGGGCGACCGGCCACAUUGGGACUGAGAUACGGCCCAGACUCCUACGGGAGGCAGCAGUGGGGAAUAUUGCACAAUGGGCGGAAGCCUGAUGCAGCAACGCCGCGUGCGGGAUGACGGCCUUCGGGUUGUAAACCGCUUUCAGCAGGGGCGAAGCUUGUGGUGACGGUACCUGCAGAAGAAGCACCGGCUAACUACGUG